AAAUCAACUAACAUAACUAAAUUUUUACAUAAACUAAAACAUUUACCCUUCCCAAAAGUAUUGGAGAAAGAAAUUCGCUUUACUAGGCGCUAUAGAGAAAGUACCGUAAGGGAAUGAUGAAAGAUCAAUUUAAAGUAAUAAUAAGCAAAGAUUAAACCUUGUACCUUUUGCAUAAUGAAUUAACUAGAAAACUUUUAACAAAAAGAAUUUAAGCUAAAAACCCCGAAACCAAACGAGCUACCUAAAAACAAUCUUAUGGAUCAACCCGUCUAUGUGGCAAAAUAGUGGGAAGAUUUUUAGGUAGAGGUGAAAAGCCUACCGAGCUUGGUGAUAGCUGGUUGCCCAAAAAAGAACUUCAGUUCAACUUUAAGCUUACCAUAAGGACAACAAACCAAAAUGUAAACUUAAAAUAUAGCCAAAAGAGGGACAGCUCUUUAGGAAAGGAAAAAACCUUAAAUAGUGAAUAAACAACUGAUAAUUAACUCAACCAUUGUAGGCCUAAAAGCAGCCACCAACAAAGAAAGCGUUCAAGCUCAACAUAUACAUAUACAAACUAAUCCCACAAACCUUUAUAAAUUCCUAUUGUACAAAUUGGGCCAAUCUAUAAAAUUAUAGAUGAGAUACUGUUAAUAUGAGUAACAAGAAUUUAUUCUCCUAGCACAAGUGUAUGACAAUCCGGAUAACCAUUGUCAAUUACCGAACUAUAGAUAACAAUCACACAAUAAAAAUACCUAACAAUAACUCGUUAAUCCAACACCGGUGUGCCUCAAGGAAAGAUUAAAAAAAGUAAAAGGAACUCGGCAACCACGAGCCCCGCCUGUUUACCAAAAACAUCACCUCUAGCAUAUCAAGUAUUAGAGGCAUUGCCUGCCCAGUGACUAAAGUUAAACGGCCGCGGUAUCCUGACCGUGCAAAGGUAGCAUAAUCACUUGUUCCUUAAUUAGGGACUAGAAUGAAUGGCUAAACGAGGGCUCAACUGUCUCUUACUUUCAAUCAGUGAAAUUGACCUUCCAGUGAAGAGGCUGGAAUACCACAAUAAGACGAGAAGACCCUAUGGAGCUUUAAUUUACUAGUUUAAUUUAUACUAAAAUAACCUAAUGGACUAAAAUAAAAUAAAUAUAAACUAAAAAAUUUCGGUUGGGGUGACCUCGGAGAACAAAUAAUCCUCCGAAUGAUUUUAACCUAGACACACAAGUCAAAGUAACACCUGUAUCUUAUUGACCCAAUUAUUGAUCAACGGACCAAGUUACCCUAGGGAUAACAGCGCAAUCCUAUUUAAGAGUUCAUAUCGACAAUUAGGGUUUACGACCUCGAUGUUGGAUCAGGACAUCCCAAUGGUGCAGAAGCUAUUAAUGGUUCGUUUGUUCAACGAUUAAAGUCCUACGUGAUCUGAGUUCAGACCGGAGCAAUCCAGGUCGGUUUCUAUCUAUUUACAAUUUCUCCCAGUACGAAAGGACAAGAGAAAUGGAGCCACCUUAACACAAGUGCUCCUAACCUAACUUAUGAAAUAAUCUUAAUAAAAUAUAUAUGUACAACAAACUUAAACCUAGAUCAGGUU
rnacentral:rRNA from 1 species